CUCGAUGCUAGGCACUACGCAAGCUGAAAAUACAAUAUUGAGUGAAACAGUCAUGGUGCUUGCUUUUUUGGUGUUGAUAUUCUAAUAGGUCUGUUUCAUCUUAUUAUAGAUUCUUUCUAACAAUAAUCAGCCUGGGUUGUAAACCAUAGCUCACAUCCUUCAGCUUUCUUCUAUCUUAGGUUGAUAUCCUACUUCCCCUCCAACUCUCACUGAGUUAGAGGUAUCAUUUAUUUUUGGUGAUCAUUUGCAAAUUCUUCCAUGGCUCCUAAGUCUAGUGUUUCAUUCUAGUUUCUUACUUUAGGGAGCCUCUUCGCCCUGAGAUGGCUCUUUUGGAUAAAACCCAAGAUGACCACAUCAGCUCUGUCUUCUACACGGCCUAUACCUCAUCCAAAAUAAACACUCAUGCAUCCCUUGUCCCCAUAAAUUCUAGGAGUCCAGGAUGAACUUAAUGCACCAAUACUUUGCUGUUUCUACAGUGACAUCAGUCUUUCUCAAGUCUCCCAAUAGCAAGGAGCAUAUUUGAAGCUUUCUGAGCGAUUCCAUGGAAGCCCCCUCACUAGGCUUGAGGUAAAGGAAACAGAAAGACCAAAACAAUCCUCUCAAGGUACCAGGAACAUGACCCACUACUCUCUCAAAGCAACAACAGCAAAGCCACGGCUCUUCUUCGGAGAAGUUCUUCCCUAUUCCACAUUCUGUCUACUCUGCACACCUUGUUCUGGCCAAGGGACACAAGAGUCAUUGAGCUGGGAAAAACGGUUCUUAACCAUUUCCUUUGUAAAUUCUUCUUAUGAGAGGAUCUGUGUCAUGCCCUUUUUAUUAUCUAAUAUUUCUCAUAUUGAUGGCUCAUUCAAAAUGGAAGAAAGAAGAGUUUCAUUUUAACAUCAUUUAAAAUAGAGAUGGGAUUUCUGACAACUUGCUUUGAGCAUUUUUCUCAGAUACAGUGGUUGUCACAACAAAGAAGGCAGCAAAAGUCACAGAGGAAACUACUUGAGUCAUUCAGAAUUCAUAAGGAAAAUAGAAGGACCUGGAAGGUAUAAUGACCCAGGAACAUGAUUGGAGGGUGAUUCAGUGUCAAGAAACUUGAUAAUUGCCACUUUCCCCACACUCGUCACUAAGGCUAGUGGAACCUAGGGAACAAGUAGUACACAAGAUGUGCAAAGAGUAGCUAAAACCUGGAGUCAUCUCUAAUAAGAAAAGCAAUUUUUGAGCCUCUAUCUCAUGCAAGUUAGGAUGUGGUUGUUUGUGUGGUUGCAGAAAAACAGGUCAGAGCAUCUAGUCACAUGGCUCCAGGACUGACUUUACCAGAGAAGUCUAUAAAAGACUUUUCCUUGAUGAAGGGGCUUGCAGUUUUCUCUGUGUUUUAGAGGAGAAACUCUGUGGAGAGGCCUGAGGUUAAAGCAAUGAGGUCUCCUUGAGUUCAGGAUAUGACUUAGCUCAGACUUGAGUUGGGAUGAGGAUGAAAAAGAGAUGUUUCUCUUAUCUUCUCUAGAGAGCACCAAUGAGUAGUCAUAUUUGAAGAGCAAUGUGGAGAGAUUUUAGGUAUUCAUGGCAAUUUCUAUUGCUUAGAAAGAAUAGGUGUCCAAGAACAUUCAAAAAACAGAAGGAAGGGGCUGGCCCGGUGGCACAGCAGUUCAGUUAGCAUAUUCCACUUCAGCAGCCUGGGGUUCGGUCAAGAUAGCGCCAGUCUUCCUUGGCAAUGAAGAGGAGGAUUGGUGGCAGAUGUUAGUUCAGGGCUAAUCUUCCU
rnacentral:lncRNA from 1 species